GGAGUUAGGACUGUUACUUUGAAAAAAUUAGUGUGUUUAAAGUAGGCUAUCGCUUGAAUCCAUUAUCAUGAAAUAAUGAAAUAGAAUGUUUCUAUCUUUUUUUUCUAGAUUUUAACUUAAUGAUUAAUAAGGAUAGUUAGGGUCCAAUUGUCAAAGUAAAAUUCUUGGAUAAAUUACUACGAUAGCAUUUGCUAAGGAUAUUUUCAUU
rnacentral:ncRNA from 1 species